rnacentral:rRNA from 1 species
AAUAGAUACCCGGGUAGUCCACGCCGUAAACGAUGAGUGCUAAGUGUUAGGGGGUUUCCGCCCCUUAGUGCUGCAGCUAACGCAUUAAGCACUCCGCCUGGGGAGUACGGCCGCAAGGCUGAAACUCAAAGGAAUUGACGGGGGCCCGCACAAGCGGUGGAGCAUGUGGUUUAAUUCGAAGCAACGCGAAGAACCUUACCAGGUCUUGACAUCCUCUGACAACUCUAGAGAUAGAGCGUUCCCCUUCGGGGGACAGAGUGACAGGUGGUGCAUGGUUGUCGUCAGCUCGUGUCGUGAGAUGUUGGGUUAAGUCCCGCAACGAGCGCAACCCUUGAUCUUAGUUGCCAGCAUUCAGUUGGGCACUCUAAGGUGACUGCCGGUGACAAACCGGAGGAAGGUGGGGAUGACGUCAAAUCAUCAUGCCCCUUAUGACCUGGGCUACACACGUGCUACAAUGGACGGUACAAAGAGUCGCAAGACCGCGAGGUGGAGCUAAUCCCAUAAAACCGUUCUCAGUUCGGAUUGCAGG